UUAAUGGGGGAGAUAAACUGCAGUCGUGCGUCUCCAAGCUAUGGUGGAGACGCGGCAUACGGCUCAGUAACACGUGGCUAACCCACCCUUGAGACGGAGAAAACCCCGGGAAACUGGGGCUAAUCCCCGAUAAGAGAAGACACCUGGAAUGGGUCUCCUCUCAAAAGGCGCCCUGACCAUGCUUUUAGGCGCUGCUCAAGGACGGGGCCGCGGCCGAUCAGGUUGUUGGUGAGGCAACGGCUCACCAAGCCUAUAACCGGUACGGGCCGUGAGAGCGGGAGCCCGGAGAUGGGCACUGAGACAAGGGCCCAGGCCCUACGGGGCGCAGCAGUUGCGAAAACUCCGCAAUGCACGAAAGUGUGACGGGGCUACCCCGAGUGCCGUCCGCUGAGGGCGGCUUUUCCCCGGUGUAAGGAGCCGGGGGAAUAAGGAGAGGGCAAGUCUGGUGUCAGCCGCCGCGGUAAUACCAGCUCUCCGAGUGGUAGGGAAGAAUAUUGGGCUUAAAGCGUCCGUAGCCGGCCCGGCAAGUCUUCCGUUAAAUCCAACGAUUCAAUCGUUGGACUGCAGGAGAUACUGUUGGGCUAGGGGGCGGGAGAAGCCGACGGUAUUCUCGGGGUAGGGGUAAAAUCCUAUAAUCCCUGGAAGACCACCAGUGGCGAAGGCGGUCGGCUAGAACGCGCUCGACGGUGAGGGACGAAAGCUGGGGGAGCGAACCGGAUUAGAUACCCGGGUAGUCCCAGCUGUAAACGAUGCGGGCUAGGUGUUGGGGCGGCUACGGGCCGCUUCAGUGCCGCAGGGAAACCAUUAAGCCCGCCGCCUGGGGAGUACGGCCGCAAGGCUGAAACUUAAAGGAAUUGGCGGGGGAGCACAACCAGGCGUGAAGCCUGCGGUUUAAUUGGAUUCAACGCCGGG
rnacentral:rRNA from 1 species